rnacentral:rRNA from 1 species
GACGAACGCUGGCGGCGUGCUUAACACAUGCAAGUCGAACGGAAAGGCCCCACCUUUGUGGGGUGCUCGAGUGGCGAACGGGUGAGUAACACGUGAGUAACCUGCCCUUCACUUUGGGAUAACUUCAGGAAACUGGGGCUAAUACCGGAUAGGAGCUUCUGCCGCAUGGUGGGGGUUGGAAAGUUUCGGCGGUUAGGGAUGGACUCGCGGCUUAUCAGCUUGUUGGUGGGGUAGUGGCUUACCAAGGCUUUGACGGGUAGCCGGCCUGAGAGGGUGACCGGCCACAUUGGGACUGAGAUACGGCCCAGACUCCUACGGGAGGCAGCAGUGGGGAAUAUUGCACAAUGGGCGGAAGCCUGAUGCAGCAACGCCGCGUGAGGGAUGACGGCCUUCGGGUUGUAAACCGCUUUCGGUAGGGACGAAGCGUGAGUGACGGUAAUUGGUAAAGAAGCACCGGCUAACUACGUG